GUCUCGCUCUCCGGCAAAGACGAGGCAACCCGCCGCCACGCCGCCGGUGGCAAAAUCAUCCAUACGACGGCGGCCGGUUUUUUCGCCCCGUCACCGGCGAAGUUGUACCACGUGACUAUGUUGUCGUCGAAAAGUUCAGCAUAUAUUAAAGAUGAGUUAAGGAUAACAGUCAGACCUGCAAGUGGGCAUUUUCAGACUUAUCCGCUGUAUUCUAUGGAAAGAGAAUUUCCUGGCAGCGCUGAAGACUGUGUCAUAUGGAACAGAAAAAAUGUAAAUGCCUGCAUUUCGGCAAAAUGUUGACGGCAUAAAAAUCUGACGGAAGCUUUCUGCUGAGGGCGAGCGGCGGAAGAACAGGCAGUGUCCUGCAGAGAAUCAUCCUCGUCAUCUUCAUCCAUGAGGUCCGACGUGAGGAAGGAGUCGGUGUCGGAACCAUCACCCAAGGAAUCAGAUGAGGAAGAGAAGCCAGAGGAGAAAUCACUGUCAGAGGCUUCUCCUCCUUGGUGAUCCAUCUCCUGUCUGUUGUCUGUUGAUGCCACAAAGUUUGCAAAGUGCAUAGCCCAGCUGCUCUCGCCGACCGACAUGGACGCCGGCGGUGGCGGCUGGCUGAUGCAAGAAGACUGUGGCGAUGUUGUGUUCUCCAUGUGUAUGAGAAACUGCAAGCAGAAGCAGGCUGGCAGCAGUGAUAAGCUUCUAGCCGGGUGUUGUGUUCUGGAUGGAAUGCUGUGUUCGGCUCGUGCUGACCGUAUAUAUAGCUCCGGCUCCGGCUCCAGCGAGUGGAUAUGAAUGGAAGUACAUGAGCGUGAACUGUCUGUCAGGCACUGGCGCCCGUUUUAAAAAUUGGCAAUGGAGGAAUCUUAGCGUUGUAAUGGUCUCUUGAUCGAGAAUAAUUCCGCGAUCGAUCAUCGAUCGCCAUCAUGCAUAUUCUUUGGUGAUUGGGACCCAAGCGGCAGCAGAAGCAGUUGGAAUGCAUAGCCGGCUGGUGAUACAUGGAGAGCUACACUCCACCUACUAUUGCAGUAUUGGUGCUACUAGUAUUAUCUCUCCAUUUGUGCCCACGUUUUCCCUUGGAAUGGAUUGAUGGAGCUGCUGUACUGGUG